rnacentral:rRNA from 1 species
UACGUAGGGUGCAAGCGUUGUCCGGAAUUAUUGGGCGUAAAGAGCUCGUAGGCGGUUUGUCGCGUCUGCUGUGAAAACCCGAGGCUCAACCUCGGGCCUGCAGUGGGUACGGGCAGACUAGAGUGCGGUAGGGGAGAUUGGAAUUCCUGGUGUAGCGGUGGAAUGCGCAGAUAGUCAGGAGGAACACCGAUGGCGAAGACAGGUCUCUGGGCAUUAACUGACGCUGAGGAGCGAAAGCAUGGGGAGCGAACAGG